ensembl:lncRNA
GCCGAGUGUAAAUGUCAGUCAUUGAAAGCAUUAGCAAUCUCGUUUUAUCUAUUAGACAUUCUUAGCUCCAUUAUAUCUUCGUCAUUUGUGUACAGAUAUGUAUUUAUAAGUGUUAGCUAGCUACAUCCUCUCAGUUAGCCGACGCCACUGAAUGCUGGGUCAGCUCGAUUUUAGCUCCACACACACACUCUGAUUUUACUAAUUGAACUUUCGGUCGUAUAGUGAAUAUAUGAUUUUUUAUAUAUCUUGAUUGAUUAAAGACGAUACGCAUUUAAUAAAACACAGUUUAAGUAAUGUACUAAAAACAAAUUCUAGCUACGAACGAUCAUCUACUGCAAAACCGACGGCAUGGACACAUUUUAUUGCUAAACACAUACGCAGUACAGCUUGGACUGAGCCUGAAUUCAGAUCGGACGGAUCACGUGCGUUUUCUGCUCAAGCUGCUGGCAUGACAACGUGCUAGAUUUUUAUCAGGAAAACUAAUACCCUAACGCCCAUAUGUCCAACUGUGUGAAUGAAACACUGCGAUGGGGACAGCUGGAGUCGGGCCAGCUGUGAUUACAACACAUGGAUCAGGAUUUUAAAACUGGCUCAUACUGCUGAGAUCAGACGAGAUCAGAACUGGCUACUAGUCCUAGAUAGGCAAGUUUUUAUUGCUACCUCCUGAACACAUAAUAAAUGAUUCUUCUUUCUAGCUUGGUAUAAAUGAUCUCAGUGAACCUUUUUCUAUCAAUGAACUGUAGAAGAUCAAAAGCUGACUGGAGGCUACAGCAUCUGCUCCUUUUCUCUUUCUGUACCACUAUCACACACACUCACACACACACACACACACACACCCCAUGCCACAAAUGGAUCCAUGCCAUCUGACCUGACAAGAGUGAGCAAUAAAGGGAACCCCAGCAGUGUGACCAGCUGACAGGAACCAUUCUCUGGCCAAAGAUCAGUGAGAGAGCAUGGAGGGAGAGGUUAUGCCUACACACAAGAUGCACUGAUGGCAGAAACACAGCAUGCCUGGAGUAACAGGAAGAUAGCAAAGACAAGCAGUACCCAGUGGUUGUUCCGGAUGAAAGACUACCCCAUGGAAAGCCUGCACAUGAAAAAGCAUGAGGAAUGAAAGCAGAGCUAACGCAAUACUCUUCCAAAAGAUUGGAAACUGAACCAGGAACGCGUCAG